CUGACAUAAAAGUAAACAUUCUAUGACAGGUGAAUCAAUAUCUAUCAUAGAAAAUGUUCUUAUUAGAACAUUAAGAGUGGGAAUUCAGUUCGCACUCUCUAUCACUGUUCAUCAUCUUCUUUGUUUGUUGUUUCGUUUUCAUUCUCCCUUACUUCUAACAACCCAUCCUUGCACACAUACUACCCUGAUGACCACCGUGACCAACAUAUUUCGGCCACCUCCAUGACACACACUUGUACACGACCCACUCAAUGCUUUUCAAGUUUUUUCUUUCGUUUGAGGUCAAGCUACUUAUCAAAGCAGAGCAACAAAGUGAGAACAACAAGAAGGAAAGUCAAUGUGCAGCAAGGAUGCAAUGCUUUGAUUGUGCCUUUUUUGUGAGAUUCGGAAUCUUUGUCCUUUGUUCUAAUGCUCUACAUGUCUUUAUACACAUUUAAAAAAAUAAAUAAAGACAUUGAGGUGAAGGAUUAUUUGAUAGACCAGUCUAGCCUAAGAGACAAAGAGGUCUACUUAACACCUUAUUUGAAUUGUUUCUUGUAAUUUUCUUGUGUUUCAUUACACAAGAAAACUAUUGAGUUGCCUACUAGAUACGUCAUUAACUCGUCUUUAGAUGCAAGCUUGAUCUUGUAGGGCUUCCUUCGAUAGCACGAAAGAAACUUCAAUAUAUCGUGUCGAAAUGCCCACAUCAACCAGGUAAUCAUCAUGAGCGACUAUUACAUGAUGAAGCACAUGCUCACCAUUAUUAU